UACGGGGGGGCAAGCGUUGUUCGGAAUUCGUGGGCGUAAAGGGCUCGUAGGCGGCCAACUAAGUCGAACGUGAAAUCCCUCAGCUUAACUGGGGAACUGCGUCCGAUACUGAUUGGCUUGAAUCCGGAAGAGGGAUGCGGAAUUCCAGGUGUAGCGGUGAAAUGCGUAGAUAUCUGGAGGAACACCGGUGGCGAAGGCGGCAUCCUGGGUCGGUAUUGACGCUGAGGAGCGAAAGCCAGGGGAGCAAACGGG
rnacentral:rRNA from 1 species